CACUGCCCCCAUCCCGGGGCCCACCAUUACCAGCAGGGAGAGGGAGGCAGGUGAGCACCCCGAGCCCCACGCCUCCUGUCGCGGGGACUCCCCAGACCCAAUGCUGUGCCAGUGCAGGCCAGGCAGGGGGCUGAGGCCGAGGCCUGGUCAUUGCCAUCCUGGUCACGAUCUGGUGAAGGAUUUGAGUCCAGAAGCCAAACGUCUACAGUCGUGUGGUGCGGACACUCAGGAUGGACUGCCCAGGCCAUGGGGGGCUCUGAGGGAUGAAGAGGAAACUGCGGGGGCGAGGUGGGCUGCGCGUCUCUGAGAAAGUGUGUGAGUUGAGUGCUGCUGCAGAGGGAAGCUGGGGUCCACCGCUGGUGAGCGGGGAGGGGACGGGACACAGAACCGGCCGUGGCCCACCCCGAGACGGAGGCGCAGACACCAGGCCCGUUCUGUGCUCUGGAGGCUUUGGGCAGCUGUCAGGCUAGUGGACGGUGUGCAGAGCAGAUGGAGGCGUGAGGAGGCGGCUCCGGGGUCACCUAGGUGGGCAGCCCUCACAGGGGAGGCCGAGGGGGAGGGCAGGAGGGCGGAGCAGGCGGCGGUGCAGGAGGCCCGUGGAACUUGGAGGGCUCUGUGUCCAGCUCUCAUGGCCCAGGGCGGGGGCAGCUCCAAGGCCUCGGGCUUGGGGACAGAAGGGAGAGGACUUGGGGGUUGGGGGUGGUCAGAGCAUUGUGGGAGGGAUCUGGGGCAGCUGGGGCUUCCCAGAGGGUGAGGUGUCUGCUGGGAAUUGGGGCAGCCCCAGGCGUCCCCAGGCCUCCAGCCCAGCCCCGGUUCCUCCACGCUGCAGGCCAGGGUAUCAAUUGCCUGCUGGGAAACCUCAGGGUGCCUCUGUCUCAAGUGCCUGCCCCUGACACUCCUGGCCCUGGGCUCCCCCCGCCUCCCCGUCUGUCUGCUUUCCCCACCUCCUCCCCUCCCCUGGCCGUCUUUCUGACUCGGGGAUGGCGUCACCUCUCACCCCAAAUCAGGACCCUGGGCCCCAGCUCUGUUCCCCACCUCACCUUCCUUGUGACCAACUCCUGACCUCCCGUGGGCUUGGGGUGUCUGUGGCCGGAACAUUCCUCAGACCCUCUCCUCCAGCCCCACUCUGUCCCACCACCCAGGCAUCCCCCACCUGGGUUCCAGCCCUCCAAGGGGCCCCACGCUCUGUGUCCAUGAUCAGGACACUCACACGCACCCAGCUCGCGCCCUUCCUUCCAGACAUUCGAGCUCUGGAAGCUCACAGUCACCCUAGCUUAGUGCACAGCCACAGGCCAGGCACCUUCAACAUCCCCACCUUCCAGGUGAGGAAACCGAGGCACCGAGAGCUGGGGGCCAGGCCAGGGGGUCUCCCUGGGGGGAGCAGAGGAGUGUCGGACCUCAGAAGAGGCUCUGGGGGUCUGAGCCGCCACCGGGCGCUGCCUUCCAGGUUCAGCAGGGACAGAGCUCAGGGGGAAGGCACCUCCCGUCCUGGUUCAAUACAUGGACCCCUGACCCUGGGAAAGGGACUGAGCCAGGGGAGGCCUCAGGUCACUGCACCAUGAAGUUGUGGGGAGCUGCGGGGGCCUCUGGGCUCCGAGCUGGGCAGGCACAGCGUGGGGACCACGUGCCGAGGGGAAGAAGCGUGCCAGGGUGGACGUCUCAGUGCACACGCAGGAACAUGCAACGGCUGAGCCAGCCCAGAGAGGCAGCGGAGCGUGUGCGGGGCGGCCGGCGGAGGAGCAGCAGGAUCCCAGGCGGGAGCGCACGGCCUUUUCGGAGGCAGGUUCCAGGACAAUACUAAGCGUUUACAUCAUUGCACUAUUUGAUCCAGGAGGUCCCACUGUGGCGUUUCAUCGAUAAACGCACAUGCGAGGUGGAGGGUGGCUGGUGUGGAAUGUGCCCGGCAGCCUUCAUAGCAAAGGAGAAUUCUAGAACCAACCGAAGUGCCCCUCUGAAGGGAGCUGGUCCCGUCCGUUCCAGCCGCCGUGGAGUAACACAGCCAGCAGUUUCCCUCCUGCCACGAAAGCUCGAGACUGAAACUCAGGAUGAACUGUUUUCAGCCCGGGUCACCCCAGCCCUGGGGUGGAGGCCCAUUGAGGAUGGCCGAGCAGGGGCGGGCAUCCAGGCAGGUCCAGCAGUCCUGGCGGGCUGAGGAGAAGGAGGUCAGUGCUCAGGGAGACAUCCGCAGAGGGACCUGGCAGGCAGAGCUCCAGAAGGGAGGGAACUGCACAGACAGAAAGCUCCAGAAGGCUGCCUGAGGGCCUCUGAGGCCUCCGGAGUCAGGCGCCAUGGAUGUGGAAGGUGGACUCUUCAGCAUGGAUGGGACCCUAGGGGGCUGUGGACCCCCGGCCCCUGGGACUCACAGGUGGGAGACAGGAGUUCCAACCGCCAGGGGGAGAGUCCUGGAGGAUCCUGGGCUGUUGGCAGCCACCCAGCAGGGCCCGUCCUGGGAGUGGGGCUGGACUCUUCCUGCAGGAAAGGCUGGGCUGGACCUGCUCUGAGAGGCUUCAGAACCAGCCACACGAAGACCAAAGUGAAGAGCAAGGAGCUGAACUCCACGCAGAACACAGCGCAGCGUCCUUUAAAGGAAGGCCAAAAACAACCCAACAAAAAUGCCAGGUGAUCAAAGCGGUCACAGCACAAUGUCCACAUCCAACGAGAAAUUGCUACUACGUCCAGACGCAGGGAAAGGUGGCCGUGGGAACGUGAGUCAGCAGCAACAGGCCCAGAAGGGCAGCCACGGUGGACUUGUCAGACGUGGACCCUGAAAUGACAAUCACAGCAUGAUUUCAGGCAGGAGCCUGAAAUGGUACAGCUUUGGACAUCGGUUUGGCAAAUUCUUUUAGAGAGAAACACACACCUUCCCUAGGACCCAGCAACUCCACUCCUAAUAACCAAGUGAAAUGGAAGGAGUUGUCCUCAGCAAAACGUGUGUGCGGAAGUUCACAGUCACUUUCUCGGUGAUAACCAAGAGCUGGAAACCACUGCAACACCCACCAGCAGGUGAACGGAUUAACACACUGGGCUAGGGCCACACAAUGAGAUGCUCCGUGGCAACACAAAAUGAACCGUGGACACACACUGCACGGCGGAUGAAUAUGCAGACAUCAGGCCACGUGAAGGGAGCCAGGCCCCGAGGCGCCACGCUUUGUGAUUCAGGGUGGUCCCUCUGCGCCCAAGACCCGGCUGCCUCCUCCUCUUCCUGGCUGCAGGGAGUGCUUGUGUCUGAAGAACGCCAGGCUGGUGUCCCCAGAGGGCGGCUGGAGGGGCUCAGAAACCAUUUUCACCUUCUGUCUCCUCCAUGUCUGCACUGUUUGGGUUUGUACCCGCCUGUGUCGCUUUUGCACGGGAAGUGAGAUGGAGAGACACGUGAACCACCAUUGCUGGGGUUCCAGCAUGGGGCCCCAGGGGACCCAUGGCUUUCCCAGAAGGAAGCUCUGCCAUUGGACAGCCGGUCUCAGGCUGCUGCACAGGCCCCUCCCCGCCCUCAGCCCUGGCCUGCGGGAAUCAGGAAAGGGUGGGGUCCAGCUGCAUUGCGAAUGGACUAAAGCCACUGAUUUGCACACUUGCCAAUGGCUGAAAUGGUCAAUAAAACGUCAUGUACCUUU
ensembl:lncRNA TNFRSF14-AS1 TNFRSF14 antisense RNA 1